GGGGGAUAGGGGGCGUCCCUCAGCCUGGAUUGUGAGAGGGUGCAGGCCAGGCUGAGGGACCUCACCAGUGCACA
rnacentral:pre_miRNA from 1 species